UACGGAGGAUCCGAGCGUUAUCCGGAUUUAUUGGGUUUAAAGGGUGCGUAGGUGGAUUGGUAAGUCAGUGGUGAAAGUUUGCAGCUUAACUGUAAAAUUGCCGUUGAAACUGCCGGUCUUGAGUGCAAAUGAGGUAGGCGGAAUGCGUCGUGUAGCGGUGAAAUGCUUAGAUAUGACGCAGAACUCCGAUUGCGCAGGCAGCUUACUAAACUACUACUGACGCUCAGGCACGAAGGCGUGGGGAUCAAACAGGAUUAGAUACCCGGGUAGU
rnacentral:rRNA from 1 species